rfam:Rattus norvegicus strain BN; Sprague-Dawley chromosome 7 CRA_213000034367417, whole genome shotgun sequence.
AAAGAAAGGCGAGGCUGUUUCUACAGGUGCCACAGAAAAAUCGAUGCCGAGUCACGGAUUAUUGGAUCCCACAGAACCAUGGAGACUUGGCGGUGAAAUUCUUCUAAAGG